rnacentral:misc_RNA from 1 species
CGCCAAUGGUGUCGCCGAUCACCGCCGCCUUGUGGCAGUCCGAUCCCUUGGGCCCCAGCGACCUCGCGUGCUCACUCGCCCCAGCCUCGAUGUAUUUCUUUGCGUUGUCCCAUGCGCCACCGGUGUUCGACGCAGAGAUGGCGACCUGUACGCCGGAGACGAGGGCGCCGGCGAGGACGCCGGAGAGGGUCUGGACGCCGAAGAGGGUGCCGACGAUGAGCGGCGUGAGCAUGACGAGGGCGCCGGGAGGGAUCAUCUGCUUGAUGGAGGCGUCGGUGGAGAUCUUGACGCAGUUG